rnacentral:rRNA from 1 species
GGUUAAGCGACUAAGCGUACACGGUGGAUGCCCUGGCAGUCAGAGGCGAUGAAGGACGUGCUAAUCUGCGAAAAGCGUCGGUAAGGUGAUAUGAACCGUUAUAACCGGCGAUGUCCGAAUGGGGAAACCCAGUGCAAUUCGUUGCACUAUCGUUAACUGAAUACAUAGGUUAACGAGGCGAACCGGGGGAACUGAAACAUCUAAGUACCCCGAGGAAAAGAAAUCAACCGAGAUUCCCCCAGUAGCGGCGAGCGAACGGGGAGCAGCCCAGAGUCUGAAUCAGCUUGUGUGUUAGUGGAACGGUCUGGAAAGUCCGACGGUACAGGGUGAUAGUCCCGUACACCAAAAUGCACAGGCUGUGAACUCGAAGAGUAGGGCGGGACACGUGGUAUCCUGUCUGAAUAUGGGGGGACCAUCCUCCAAGGCUAAAUACUCCUGACUGACCGAUAGUGAACCAGUACCGUGAGGGAAAGGCGAAAAGAACCCCGGCGAGGGGAGUGAAAAAGAACCUGAAACCGUGUACGUACAAGCAGUGGGAGCACCUUCGGGUGUGACUGCGUACCUUUUGUAUAAUGGGUCAGCGACUUAUAUUCUGUAGCAAGGUUAACCGUAUAGGGGAGCCGCAGGGAAACCGAGUCUUAACUGGGCGUUAAGUUGCAGGGUAUAGACCCGAAACCCGGUGAUCUAGCCAUGGGCAGGUUGAAGGUUGGGUAACACUAACUGGAGGACCGAACCGACUAAUGUUGAAAAAUUAGCGGAUGACUUGUGGCUGGGGGUGAAAGGCCAAUCAAACCGGGAGAUAGCUGGUUCUCCCCGAAAGCUAUUUAGGUAGCGCCUCGUGAACUCAUCUUCGGGGGUAGAGCACUGUUUCGGCUAGGGGGUCAUCCCGACUUACCAACCCGAUGCAAACUACGAAUACCGAAGAAUGUUAUCACGGGAGACACACGGCGGGUGCUAACGUCCGUCGUGAAGAGGGAAACAACCCAGACCGCCAGCUAAGGUCCCAAAGUCAUGGUUAAGUGGGAAACGAUGUGGGAAGGCACAGACAGCCAGGAUGUUGGCUUAGAAGCAGCCAUCAUUUAAAGAAAGCGUAAUAGCUCACUGGUCGAGUCGGCCUGCGCGGAAGAUGUAACGGGGCUAAACCAUGCACCGAAGCUGCGGCAGCGACACUAUGUGUUGUUGGGUAGGGGAGCGUUCUGUAAGCCUGCGAAGGUGUGCUGUGAGGCAUGCUGGAGGUAUCAGAAGUGCGAAUGCUGACAUAAGUAACGAUAAAGCGGGUGAAAAGCCCGCUCGCCGGAAGACCAAGGGUUCCUGUCCAACGUUAAUCGGGGCAGGGUGAGUCGACCCCUAAGGCGAGGCCGAAAGGCGUAGUCGAUGGGAAACAGGUUAAUAUUCCUGUACUUGGUGUUACUGCGAAGGGGGGACGGAGAAGGCUAUGUUAGCCGGGCGACGGUUGUCCCGGUUUAAGCAUGUAGGCUGAUUGUCCAGGCAAAUCCGGAUAAUCAAGGCUGAGGUGUGAUGACGAGGCACUACGGUGCUGAAGUAACAAAUGCCCUGCUUCCAGGAAAAGCCUCUAAGCAUCAGGUAACAUCAAAUCGUACCCCAAACCGACACAGGUGGUCAGGUAGAGAAUACCAAGGCGCUUGAGAGAACUCGGGUGAAGGAACUAGGCAAAAUGGUGCCGUAACUUCGGGAGAAGGCACGCUGGUGUGUAGGUGAAGUCCCUGCGGAUGGAGCUGAGACCAGUCGAAGAUACCAGCUGGCUGCAACUGUUUAUUAAAAACACAGCACUGUGCAAACACGAAAGUGGACGUAUACGGUGUGACGCCUGCCCGGUGCCGGAAGGUUAAUUGAUGGGGUUAUCCGUAAGGAGAAGCUCUUGAUCGAAGCCCCGGUAAACGGCGGCCGUAACUAUAACGGUCCUAAGGUAGCGAAAUUCCUUGUCGGGUAAGUUCCGACCUGCACGAAUGGCGUAAUGAUGGCCAGGCUGUCUCCACCCGAGACUCAGUGAAAUUGAACUCGCUGUGAAGAUGCAGUGUACCCGCGGCAAGACGGAAAGACCCCGUGAACCUUUACUAUAGCUUGACACUGAACAUUGAGCCUUGAUGUGUAGGAUAGGUGGGAGGCUUUGAAGCGUGGACGCCAGUCUGCGUGGAGCCAACCUUGAAAUACCACCCUUUAAUGUUUGAUGUUCUAACGUUGGCCCCUGACCGGGGUUGCGGACAGUGUCUGGUGGGUAGUUUGACUGGGGCGGUCUCCUCCCAAAGCGUAACGGAGGAGCACGAAGGUUAGCUAAUCCUGGUCGGACAUCAGGAGGUUAGUGCAAUGGCAUAAGCUAGCUUGACUGCGAGCGUGACGGCGCGAGCAGGUGCGAAAGCAGGUCAUAGUGAUCCGGUGGUUCUGAAUGGAAGGGCCAUCGCUCAACGGAUAAAAGGUACUCCGGGGAUAACAGGCUGAUACCGCCCAAGAGUUCAUAUCGACGGCGGUGUUUGGCACCUCGAUGUCGGCUCAUCACAUCCUGGGGCUGAAGUAGGUCCCAAGGGUAUGGCUGUUCGCCAUUUAAAGUGGUACGCGAGCUGGGUUUAGAACGUCGUGAGACAGUUCGGUCCCUAUCUGCCGUGGGCGCUGGAGAAUUGAGGGGGGCUGCUCCUAGUACGAGAGGACCGGAGUGGACGCAUCACUGGUGUUCGGGUUGUCAUGCCAAUGGCACUGCCCGGUAGCUAAAUGCGGAAGAGAUAAGUGCUGAAAGCAUCUAAGCACGAAACUUGCCCCGAGAUGAGUUCUCCCUGAGACU